rnacentral:rRNA from 1 species
CAGUAGCCGCGGGAAUACGAGGGGAGCUAGCGUUAUUCGGAAUUACUGGGCGUAAAGCGCACGUAGGCGGCUUUGUAAGUUAGAGGUGAAAGCCCAGAGCUCAACUCUGGAAUUGCCUUUAAGACUGCAUCGCUUGAAUCCAGGAGAGGUGAGUGGAAUUCCGAGUGUAGAGGUGAAAUUCGUAGAUAUUCGGAAGAACACCAGUGGCGAAGGCGGCUCACUGGACUGGUAUUGACGCUGAGGUGCGAAAGCGUGGGGAGCAAACAGGAUUAGAUACCCCUGUAGUCCCUGUCUCUUAUAC